GUAACGCAGCUUUCUACCGCCAGACGACAGAUGCAAGCUGCCUUCAAGAGUGAUCCCUUUGGUUGAGGUCAAUUCCCAGAGGGUCUCAGCUCUCUCUGUUGCAUCAACAUCUGGAAGACCGAGUAUCAUUUUAGCCAUAGUAAAUAGCUUAAAGGAAGAAUACAUCUUAUAUUUCCCCACAAAGAGGCAAAAUGGUGUGUGGGCUGCACCAGCAAAGGAACUGGAAAAUCUCUGUAUGGAGUGGAUUUGAACGACAAUCACUCUUCGUGUGUGAAUCACUUUUCUCUUCUUCUUCCAAGCAUCUGUGAAGCAAUGAAAUAAUAUGUAUGAAGACUCAAGAUUCCCUUCCAGAUCAAUCUGAGUAUAUUUGUUUUACAUCAAUGGUCAUAAAGAAACAGGUUAAAGUGUCUAAUGGGCAUGAAAUUGCUUCCAUAUAAUUUUUAAAUCCUAUUUUUUCCCAGUGUAUUAAGCAGCUUGACAGCUACCAAUCUGCUUAUUUCCAUAUUUGGAAUAAUUUCUGUUGUGACUAUAUGUUUCUGUAUUUUCUGGAGUAAGGAUAUCUGACAAAGAAAGGAAAAAAAGAAAAAGAAAAAACAAUCAACUUUGUUAUCUGAUUGGUGCAAGAAAUUAGAACCUUGUGGUCAUCUGGAGUUUUCUGUGUGGGCUUAACUGGACCUUUGGUGCCCAGAGCACACUUCAGGACUAAUGCUAUUUUGGAAUAUCACUGGAGUUGGAAGCAGGAAUCCUGACUAUACAAUCAAGCACGGCUCAUUCAAUCCCGGUGGCCACACAUGGCACCCUUUUACAAGGUUCAUCAACUAAUAGUUUCCAUGAAGAUGACAAAUGGGUGUGGCAAUGAUUGGACCCACACCCAGAGAAUUAGAACA